GAUGAACGCUGGCGGCGUGCCUAAUACAUGCAAGUCGAGCGAACGGACGAGAAGCUUGCUUUUCUGAUGUUAGCGGCGGACGGGUGAGUAACACGUGGAUAACCUACCUAUAAGACUGGGAUAACUUCGGGAAACCGGAGCUAAUACCGGAUAAUAUUUUGAACCGCAUGGUUCAAAAGUGAAAGACGGUCUUGCUGUCACUUAUAGAUGGAUCCGCGCUGCAUUAGCUAGUUGGUAAGGUAACGGCUUACCAAGGCAACGAUGCGUAGCCGACCUGAGAGGAUGAUCAGUCACACUGGAACUGAGACACGGUCCAGACUCCUACGGGAGGCAGCAGUGGGGAAGAUUGGACAAUGGGCGAAAGCCUGAUCAAGCAAUGCAGCGUGUGUGAAGAAGGUCUUCGGAUUGUAAAGCACUUUAAGUUGGGAGGAAGGGCAGUAAGUUAAUACCUUGCUGUUUUGACGUUACCAACAGAAUAAGCACCGGCUAACUUCGUGC
rnacentral:rRNA from 1 species